rnacentral:rRNA from 1 species
UACGUAGGGUGCGAGCGUUGUCCGGAAUUAUUGGGCGUAAAGGGCUCGUAGGCGGUCUGUUGCGUCGGCUGUGAAAACCCGGGGCUCAACUCCGGGCCUGCAGCCGAUACGGGCAGACUAGAGUUCGGCAGGGGAGACUGGAAUUCCUGGUGUAGCGGUGAAAUGCGCAGAUAUCAGGAGGAACACCGGUGGCGAAGGCGGCGUCCUGGACCGGUAUUGACGCUGAGGCGCGAAAGCCAGGGGAGCAAACGGG